UACGUAGGGGGCAAGCGUUGUCCGGAAUCAUUGGGCGUAAAGAGCGUGUAGGCGGCCUGAUAAGUCGGUUGUGAAAGUCAAGGGCUCAACCCUUGAAUGCCGACCGAUACUGUCAGGCUAGAGUCCGGAAGAGGCGAGUGGAAUUCCUGGUGUAGCGGUGAAAUGCGCAGAUAUCAGGAGGAAUACCGGUGGCGAAGGCGGAUCUCUGGGCCAUUACUGACGCUGAGGAGCGAAAGCGUGGGGAGCGAACAGG
rnacentral:rRNA from 1 species